rnacentral:tRNA from 1 species
ACAGUGGUGGUUCAGUGGAAGAGCUCUCGCCUUCUAUGUGGGAGGCUCAGGUUCAGUUCCUGGCCAAUGCU